CGCCGCCCGCUGCCGCCGCCGCCGCUUCAGCCCAACAUGGCGAUGCACAACAAGGCGGCGCCGCCGCAGAUCCCGGACACCCGGCGGGAGCUGGCGGAGCUCGUGAAGCGGAAGCAGGAACUGGCGGAAACACUUGCAAACUUGGAGAGACAGAUCUAUGCUUUUGAAGGAAGCUAUCUGGAAGACACUCAGAUGUAUGGCAAUAUUAUUCGUGGCUGGGAUCGGUAUCUGACCAACCAAAAAAACUCCAAUAGCAAAAACGAUCGGAGGAACCGGAAGUUUAAGGAAGCAGAGCGGCUGUUCAGUAAAUCUUCAGUUACUUCGGCAGCUGCAGUAAGUGCAUUGGCAGGCGUUCAGGACCAGCUCAUUGAGAAGAGGGAGCCAGGAAGUGGGACAGAAAGUGACACCUCUCCAGACUUCCACAAUCAGGAAAAUGAGCCCAGCCAGGAGGACCCUGAGGAUCUGGAUGGAUCUGUGCAGGGAGUGAAACCUCAGAAGGCUGCUUCUUCUACCUCCUCAGGGAGUCAUCACAGCAGCCACAAAAAACGAAAGAAUAAAAACCGGCACAGCCCGUCUGGCAUGUUUGAUUAUGACUUUGAGUAUGUAUAUUAGGUUAGGCUGGGAAGUUUUUUUUAAAAACAGAAAAACGUGAUGGAGGAUUGAUCUGAAGUUAAACAAAAAACCACGAGCUGACUAUUAGAAGACUCACUAGUGCACAAGCUUCCAGGCUGUAGAGCCCCGCUUCCCUCUCCGACCUCACAGAGAUAAACGUCCCUCACCUGAGUUCGUGGCCAUCCACUUCUGCUCCCAGACCCAGUGCCUGUGACUCUUGAGUAGUUUAUUCUACAUGUGGUGACAAACAAGUCAUUUCUGUAAGAUAUGGGAUCAUUUGCUUUGUGUCAUUUUUAGUAGCAGAACUGCAGGAAGACCAAUACAUGAUUAUAAUCCCAGCAAGUUGCUGACUCUGAAUUUCUCCAUAAUGAAUGUCUCACCCCAAACUGGCUGGCACCAGCUCCAUUUGUGAUCCCUAUUGAGAAGUGUUCUCUGGUUUUGUUGUGUGCUGAAAGUACAACACAAGUCACAUUUCAAAUGGAGGCUGUAAAUAUCUGGCAUUCUCUUGUUUUGUUUUGUGCGUUAUUAUUUUUCUAUUGUUGUUUUUACCAUCUUACUUUCUUUUGGGACUUUUUGUAAUACUUUUGUAUAGCUCAGGCCUUCCUGAUGACAUACCUGAUAAUCUGUUUCAUGUAUUUGCCUAUAUUCUUAACUGAAAAUAAUGUGGUUUACCAUAGCAUAAUGGGAAACUUGACUCUCUGGGUUUUUGUGCAGGGGGAAGGUAAAGAGUGUUUAUUUAAUAAUUAUCUAUCGUAAAUCUUUCUGGUUUAGAAGCAGUUUCAUGUUCAAGGAACAGAAAAACUGAAAACCAUGAGUUUAAAUCCAUCCUUUUAAAAUAGAUAUUUUUAUUUUUUGUAUAAAUAAAAUUUCACAGGCCUUAGUUCUCAUACUUUAGUUUUAAACCUGAGAUUUUUUCCCCCCCACUUUAUUUAUUCAUCCCAUGCCUUAUGGAAAUUUUCUUUCUUUUUCCAUCAUCUUUUCUCUUUUUGUUGGUAUUCACCUAAUUAAAUAUUACUCUAAAAAUCUCCAAGGCAAUGGAAAGGCUCAAAAUUACACCAAAAUAACAAUUAAAAAAAUUAAACCAAAAUAAGGUGUUUUUGAGCAGAGUGAAAGGUAGUGUUAGAGCCAGUGUUGCCCAAGGGACAGGGGGUCCGGGGCUGAGGAACUUGACUGAUGAUUGUUACCUGUCUCUAGUGCAGUGACCUUGGCUGCACAUUGUAGUCAAGCCUAACAAAGUGCUAGGAUACAGCAUCCAUAUUGAGAUUUCCUUUCACAGAGUCCUUAGGGUGCUGACUAGGACCCCAGUUGAGAUCCACUGCAUUAGGAGACUGGAUGAUUUGAUUUUGAGUCCUGUGCUAUGAAUUAGUCUAACAAGAUUUGACGCCUGGCCUUUCCUUUGACUGGAUUUAGUCAUGGUAAGAAGAAAUUGGCCUCUUGUGAUCAGUUGCUGCAGCUGAAUAUGGAUGGCAUAUUCAGACCAAGUCUGCCUUGUCGGUUGUGCAAAGCUUUCACUCUUGUUCUCACAUAAAUGUGUUUGGUUUGGUUUGGUUUGGUAGUAGUUGGGUUUGAACUCAGCUAACUUGCUAAGCAGUUGCUCUGUCACUGGAGCCACCUUUUUUGCUUUAGUUAUUUUUAGGUAGCACUUCAAGUUUUUUGCCUCAGGCCAGCCUCAAACCAAGGUCUUCCUACCUAGGGUCUCCCACAUAGCUGGGAUUAUAGACAUGAGCCACCACAUCCUGUCUUCCCUCCCCUUGUUUUGACUAGUUAAAUGUCUUUGGUAGCAGAUCUCCAGUGUUAGGGUUUCUGAGGAAGUAGUUUCUUAUGUUUAGAUUGUUUCUUUAAAACAAACACAAACCAGCUGAGGCAAGAGGCUCAUAAGUUCAAGGUUAGUUUGGGCUACAAAGUGAAACAGGAAAAAGAAACCCCAAAAGCAUUCUGUAUCCUUCUCAGUUUGUCUCCUUUUCUGGGAAGGAGGAUUGCGGUUCCUGUGUAUAUAGCAGGUAUACACAGAGGAAGGUAUACAGCAGACUUUAAAACAUCUCAGACUCACAUGACUUAGCAUUUGCUAGAGGUACAAUACUACUGCUCUUUAGAAGAUGUAUUUUUAUUUAUUCAUUUACUUAUUCAUUCAUUCAUGCUUGGGAGCAAACCCAGGGCCUUGCUUGUGCUAGGCAAGUGCUCUAUC